GACGAACGCUGGCGGCGCGCCUAACACAUGCAAGUCGAGCGAGAACCGGGCCUUCGGGCCCGGGGACAGCGGCGAACGGGUGAGUAACACGUGGGCAACCUGCCCUCGGCACUGGGAUAGCCCGGGGAAACCCGGAUUAAUACCGGAUAGCCUCCGGAGCCUUCGGGCGCCGGAAGAAAGGUGGCUUCGGCAUCCGGCCGAGGAGGGGCCCGCGGCGGAUUAGCUUGUUGGUGGGGUAAUGGCCCACCAAGGCGACGAUCCGUAGCUGGUCUGAGAGGACGAUCAGCCACACUGGGACUGAGACACGGCCCAGACUCCUACGGGGGGCAGCAGUGGGGAAUCUUGCGCAAUGGGCGAAGGCCUGACGCAGCGACGCCGCGUGCGGGAAGAAGGCCUUCGGGUUGUAAACCGCUUUCAGGAGGGACGAAGCCACUCGGGUGAACAGCCCAGAGGGUGACGGUACCUCCAGAAGAAGCCCCGGCUAACUACGUGCCAGCCGCCGCAGUAA
rnacentral:rRNA from 1 species